UGAUAUGUGAGUUGGCAUAUCUCAUAAGCCAAGAAAGGUAUUUAUCUUUCUUUUUUCAUUUUUUUGCCUUCUCUCUUCCCAUUUUGCUCAAAAAACCUCUAAUAUUUUUUGUUCUUUUCCCCUUCCCUAUUUAAAGUCUUUAUUAAAUAUAUGUAUAAUGACGACAAUGAAGAGUUAUAGUGUGGUGGAGAGCUGUGUAAAGACAAUAAAGAAUUCCUGAUGAUUUGAAUAGUCAUAACACGGUAUCAUCUUGGUCAUGUAGAAAGGCAUCCUAAUGAGUGGACUGGUUCUCCAACAUCUUUCAUCUACAAUCCUCUAUAUAUCACGGUAGCAACCGAUGAUGAUCUUGACAUCGUCAUGAAUGGUGUUUUCAGUAAGAAACUAAACUUUCCCCAGAAAAUCUCAAUUAGUAAGUUCUUAUUACUUAAUCUUUUAAGUUGAACCAUUUUUAUUGCUUCUUUAUUUAUAUUUAUCUAUAGAUAAUAUAAACCGAGAAUGGACUAAGUAUUGUGGCUUUCAAAAGGUGGAAGUGGAAGACCUGUCUGAUUCUGCUAUUAGUGUCCUAUGUGACUAUUUUAUGAAGUCAAGAAUCUAUGAGGUUAUUUUGUUUACGUAUUAUAAACUCAAAUAGCAUUGAAAUUGAAUAUUUAAUCUUUUAUCUAUAACACCUCAAUGAAAUUUAAAGUUUCUAUUGUACUUCCAAAUUAUUACUUCAUACACUUUUGUGAUUGUAUCUUUGAUUUUAUAACAUUUAGAAGGUUUAUGUAAUGUCCAGAUGGAUGAGCUAUAGCAGUGAAUGUAACUCUACCAUGGGCAAGUAGUUUUUUUCUUCAGGACUAUGAAACCUUUCUCCAUAGAUUGUUAAAUUGAUCCCUUCAAA
rnacentral:lncRNA from 1 species